rnacentral:pre_miRNA from 1 species
UAGGGGUUCUUAGAGGCUUUGUUGCAGAGCCAAUUUGGCAUUCUGUCCACCUCCAUUGAUGUACUUCUUCUUACCUACCCAACUUAUAAAAUGAUUUGUCUUUGAAGUAAUGGAGGCGGCCAGUAUGUCAAAUAGACUCUGUAAAUUUCUCUCUGAGAAACCCUA